GAACAUCUCCAGAGUUUUAGGUCCUUGAAGUCCAGAGAGGAGAACGUCUCCUGGAGAAAGUUUUAGAACUUUCGCCAGUUGUCGGUAGGUCUACUCUAGAACUUUGUCCAAUUGUCGGUAGGUCUACUCUAGAACUUUCUACAGUUGUCAGUUGGUCUACUCUAGAACUUUCUACAGUUGUCAGUAGGUCUACUCUAGAACUUUCUACAGUUGUCAGUAGGUCUACUCUAGAACUUUCUCCAGUUGUCGUUAGGUCUACUCCAGAACUUUCUCCAGUGGUCGGUAGGUCUACUCUAGAACUUUCUACAGUUGUCGGUAGGUCUGCUCUACAACUUUCUACAGUUGUCGGUAGGUCUGCUCUACAACUUUCUACAGUUGUCGUUAGGUCUACUCUAGAACUUUCUCCAGUGGUCGGUAGGUCUGCUCUACAACUUUCUACAGUUGUCGGUAGGUCUGCUCUACAACUUUCUACAGUUGUCGGUAGGUCUGCUCUACAACUUUCUACAGUUGUCAGUAG